UGAUGAUGAUGAUGAGGAUGAUGAUGAGGAUGAUGAUGAUGAGGAUGAUGAUGAUGAUCAUCAUCAUCAUCAUCAUCGUCAUCAUUAUCAACAGCA
rnacentral:pre_miRNA from 1 species